ensembl:lncRNA novel transcript, antisense to TTYH2
UUUUAGUACAAGUGGUUUAUUUCUCUUCCAGGUGAGGCCGCAUGUAUAUAAGCAAAGGUUUGCCCACCUGGUUCCUUCAGGAACUCCCCGAGGAAUCUGUUUAGUUUCCAUGCAUUAAAAACAACCCUCUAGUUGCCAAUAAUGAAACUUUAAGAAGCAACACUUUGACGUCGCAGAGUUCCUCUCUGCAUGUGACGCGGAUAUACCAAAGUGAGUUUAUGGCAUACAGUAUGCAUGGGUUAAUGUAGGUGAGACAGGGAGUCCCGGCUGCCCUGUGGCCCCAUUCUGUUGUGGAGGCUUCGCUGGGAGCUGAGAACACCCUGCUGUCCAUGUUUUGAUGACAGGUGGUUCUUCCAAAACAGAAGCACCGAGUCACCGCACGCCCCUGCUUCAGUGUGCGAGGCCGUGGGGCUCUGGUGUUGUGAACUCCAGGCUGGCAUUUAAAAGGUGCUGACUUUUAGGCUGGGCGUGGUGGCUCAUGCCUGUAACCCCAGCACUUUGGGAGGCCAAGGC